rnacentral:rRNA from 1 species
UACGUAGGGGGCUAGCGUUGUCCGGAAUCAUUGGGCGUAAAGAGCGUGUAGGCGGUCCGGUAAGUCCGCUGUGAAAGUCGGGGGCUCAACCCUCGAAUGCCGGUGGAUACUGUCGGGCUAGAGUGCGGAAGAGGCGAGUGGAAUUCCUGGUGUAGCGGUGAAAUGCGCAGAUAUCAGGAGGAACACCGGUGGCGAAGGCGGGUCUCUGGGCCGUAACUGACGCUGAGGAGCGAAAGCAUGGGGAGCGAACAGG